GUUAUUUACAAGUCCACAAUUUAUUGCGCGCUCCGUAAAGAAUAAGGAAAAUUGGAAGAAACAAAAGUAUUCUACAACGCAGGGUACAAAAUCGCUGGCAGCCGUCCGUUUUGAAAAAACGAACCCGGACCUCAUUGAGUCAUGGAAGGAUUAUCAUUGGAAGAAAGCAACAAAUGAUUUCGUGAACGAUGAUGCUCGCCAAGAUUAUGAAAAACUGAAGGCUGAUUUUGAGUUACAAACUCAGCAAACAUCCACUGAUGCUUCUAAUAAUGAUAGUCCGUCAUCAGUUGAUCAGGUGGAGGUGUUACAAAAAGUAUUAGGCCAAAGGCGUGGACAUGUGCGAGGAGUGGGCCGCAAAUUGAAG